rnacentral:rRNA from 1 species
UACGGGGGGUGCAAGCGUUGUUCGGAAUCAUUGGGCGUAAAGGGCGCGUAGGCGGAUAGUUAAGUCUGAUGUGAAAUACCAGGGCUCAACCCUGGGGCUGCAUCGGAAACUGGUUAUCUUGAGGACAGGAGAGGAAAGUGGAAUUCCACGUGUAGCGGUGAAAUGCGUAGAUAUGUGGAGGAACACCAGUGGCGAAGGCGACUUUCUGGACUGUAACUGACGCUGAGGCGCGAAAGCGUGGGGAGCAAACAGG